rnacentral:rRNA from 1 species
CUGACGAGUGGCGGACGGGUGAGUAAUGUCUGGGAAACUGCCUGAUGGAGGGGGAUAACUACUGGAAACGGUAGCUAAUACCGCAUAACGUCGCAAGACCAAAGAGGGGGACCUUCGGGCCUCUUGCCAUCAGAUGUGCCCAGAUGGGAUUAGCUUGUUGGUGGGGUAACGGCUCACCAAGGCGACGAUCCCUAGCUGGUCUGAGAGGAUGACCAGCCACACUGGAACUGAGACACGGUCCAGACUCCUACGGGAGGCAGCAGUGGGGAAUAUUGCACAAUGGGCGCAAGCCUGAUGCAGCCAUGCCGCGUGUAUGAAGAAGGCCUUCGGGUUGUAAAGUACUUUCAGCGGGGAGGAAGGUGUUGUGGUUAAUAACCGCAGCAAUUGACGUUACCCGCAGAAGAAGCACCGGCUAACUCCGUGCCAGCAGCCGCGGUAAUACGGAGGGUGCAAGCGUUAAUCGGAAUUACUGGGCGUAAAGCGCACGCAGGCGGUCUGUUAAGUCAGAUGUGAAAUCCCCGGGCUCAACCUGGGAACUGCAUCUGAUACUGGCAGGCUUGAGUCUCGUAGAGGGGGGUAGAAUUCCAGG